GUGGAUAUUCCUUCAAUGUUUA
rnacentral:miRNA from 1 species